UGACGCGUUGGGUGUGGAGCUGUCCGAGGUGGUUGGUGGGCCACUGGGCAGGCAUGCACUGGUGGGCCGGCAGCCGUUCUGGACUCCGCUGCGCGUGGU
rnacentral:tRNA from 3 species